rnacentral:tRNA from 1 species
GGCCCCGUAGCUCAGUAGGAUAGAGCACUGCUUUCAGAGGCAGAGGCCGCGGGUUCGAGUCCCGCCGAGGGCCG